rnacentral:rRNA from 1 species
UCAAAGGAAUUGACGGGGGCCCGCACAAGCGGAGGAACAUGUGGUUUAAUUCGAUGAUACGCGAGGAACCUUACCCGGGCUUAAAUUGCAGUGGAAUGAUGUGGAAACAUGUCAGUGAGCAAUCACCGCUGUGAAGGUGCUGCAUGGUUGUCGUCAGCUCGUGCCGUGAGGUGUCGGCUUAAGUGCCAUAACGAGCGCAACCCUUAUCUUUAGUUACUAACAGGUUAUGCUGAGGACUCUGGAGAGACUGCCGUCGUAAGAUGUGAGGAAGGUGGGGAUGACGUCAAAUCAGCACGGCCCUUACGUCCGGGGCUACACACGUGUUACAAUGGGGGGUACAGAAGGCAGCUAGCGGGUGACCGUAUGCUAAUCCCAAAAUCCUCUCUCAGUUCGGAUCGAAGUCUGCAACCCGACUUCGUGAAGCUGGAUUCGCUAGUAAUCGCGCAUCAGCCACGGCGCGGUGAAUACGUUCCCGGGCCUUGUACACACCGCCCGUCAAGCCAUGGGAGCCGGGGGUACCUGAAGUACGUAACCGCAAGGAUCGUCCUAGGGUAAAACUGGUGACUGGGGCUAAGUCGUAACAAGGUAGCCGUACCGGAAGGUGCGGCUGGAACACCUCCUUUCUGGAG